UACGUAGGGUGCAAGCGUUGUCCGGAAUUAUUGGGCGUAAAGAGCUCGUAGGCGGUGUGUCGCGUCGGCCGUGAAAAACUGUGGCUUAACUAUGGGCUUGCGGUCGAUACGGGCAUCACUGGAGUUCGGCAGGGGAGACUGGAAUUCCUGGUGUAGCGGUGAAAUGCGCAGAUAUCAGGAGGAACACCGGUGGCGAAGGCGGGUCUCUGGGCCGAUACUGACGCUGAGGAGCGAAAGCGUGGGGAGCGAACAGGA
rnacentral:rRNA from 1 species